rnacentral:rRNA from 1 species
UACGGGGGGGGCAAGCGUUGUUCGGAAUUACUGGGCGUAAAGGGCUCGUAGGCGGCCAACUAAGUCAGACGUGAAAUCCCUCAGCUUAACUGGGGAACUGCGUCUGAUACUGGAUGGCUUGAGAUUGGGAGAGGGAUGCGGAAUUCCAGGUGUAGCGGUGAAAUGCGUAGAUAUCUGGAGGAAUACCGGUGGCGAAGGCGGCAUCCUGGACCGGCAUUGACGCUGAUGAGCGAAAGCUAGGGGAGCAAACGGG